GUGUUCACGUUGGUACUUUCAGCGCUAAGCUUAUUGACGGUGCAAAUCAAGGCGGGAGGGAGGGCCAAGAAUGCUGGAGAAAGGGAGGAAUUGCUGUUGCUUAUAGAGCAGAGGUGGCUUGCUUUAGCUGUGUCUGCAUUGUGGAAUUAAUGCAGUUCCAUACCGCUUUAACUGCCAUGGAAUCCUGGGAUUUGGAGCCCUCUUGGACCGAGAAGGCCAGCGAUGGUGUAGAAGUACAGUUGUGGCAAUUAAAGGAGUCACCCUUUCCUUUUUCCCCAUCCAAACAAUUUUUAUUAAAUAUUUCUAAUCUCAGUAAGAUAAAAAAUGAGAAAAUGAAGUUACUGAAUUGAUGGAAACAAAUAAACAGGGAAAACAUCUACCCAGAAAUUAAAGAAGAAAAUGAGAUAAUUGAAGAAACAGUAUGAGAUUGAUAAAGACUUGGUGAAAGACCUUUCACAUCAUAUAAUAGAUGGAAGCCAUAUAUAUAUAUUACUUUUUUUAAAGUAGCGUGUAUAUGUUUUAGAUUAAAAUGGAUGUACUUAUUUUUAUUUUUAUUUUUUUAUCUAUGUAUUUUUCAGAUAGUGAUUUGGAAAAUGUGUUCUGUAAUAAAAAAAACUUUAAAAAUAAUAAAUAAGGUGAAAACUCACACUAAGGGAAUGGGAGUGAGGGGAAAAGAAGAGAAAAAAAACAAUAGGAUAGUAGAGUUAUUGAUUAGUUACACCUUUACAAAUAUCUAAUACUAAUGUAUAGAUUAUCUAAUACAAUGGUUCUCAACCUGUGGGUCCCCAGGAGUUUUGGCCUACAACUACCAGAAAUCCCAGCCAGUUUACCAGCUGUUAGGAUUUCUGGGAGUUGAAGGUCAAAACAUCUGGGGACCCACAGGUUAAGAACUACUGAUCUAAAGAGAAAAGACUACAAAUUUCAUUUAAGCUCUUAAUCAAUUAGUAUUUAUAUAAACAAGCCUUUAUUGUGUGUUAUAUUGUGCUUCCUCUCUUAUUGUACUAUACUAGACUUUCAAAAUCCUGUACAACCAAUCCAUUUUGUAUAAUACAUCCCAAUCUUAUUUAUCGAUGUUAACUUAUCAAUUGUUUAAACAUUCUUGAAAUUUAGGUGGGUGCCUAACAUAAAAUACAAGUACAGUAUAUAUAUAAAAUAAUAUUUGUUUGAUUAAAAGCCAAAUUUCCAUGCCUUGGAUAUUAGAGCCAAACUCUAAUGUAAAUGCAGUGUUUCUGUAGAUGCACUGUUUCUGAUCCCUUUGGGUUUGUGUAUCUAAAGUGCCCAGUGCUUUGGGAUGGUCAGUGCAAAGGAGUAAACAGCAUCCUUAUCUCUGAAACAUGCAACAAAGUGCUCUUUGGUUUCAGUUCCUGUCAGGAGAAACAUUUCCGUUGUUGUUAUGUGGCAUUUGCUUGAUUGUCUUGGGGCUCUUCCAGACAGGCCCUAUAUCUCAGGAUCUGAUUCCAGGUUUUCUGCUUUAAACUGAAUGAUAUGAGUCUGCACUGCCAUAUAAUCUUGGAUAAAAAGAAGACCUGGGAUCAGAUCCUGAGAUAUAGGGCCUGUCUGGAAGGGCUCUAGAUCAGUGUUUCCUGAACUGCAAAUGUUUUGGACUGCAACUCCUAUAAGUCCCAGGUGCCUUGGCCAGUGAUCAGGGAUUCUGGGAGCUGAAGUCCAAACUGCCUGAAAGACCAGAGUUAGGGAGACCUGUGGUCCUCUGGUUGUUUGGGACUCUGACUCCUAAAAGCCUUAGCCAGCUUGUCCUAUAGUCAGGAAUUCUGGGAGCUGAAGUCCAGAACACCUGGAGGGAUACAGGCCUAGUCUAGGUGCAGGUCUAGAACUCAUAGUAAUGCUGGAUUGCUGCCUGUGGAUUGGGUUAACCCCAAUGCAGUGUGUGCUACCUUUCUCUUACUCUGUGCUUGUUUUCCCUAGUGAAUGGCUCAUCUGUUGCAUAAGCAAAAACUUCUCAAACAGUCACCUUCACAUUUGCAGUUCUGACUUUUGCAGAUUUGAUUACUCACAAAUUUGAUUUAAGUGCUCUCUCUCUAGGGAUCUCUAGGUCUUCAGUGUGGUUCUGUGGUCAACCCCCUCCAAUCAUGCUGUAGGAGCUCGAGAUGUCUAGAGCUAACACCUCUCUUGGAGUGGCUAGGUUAGGCCUGUGCAAACUUUGGUCCUUGCAGUGUUUUGGGCUUCAUCUCCCAGAAUCCCACAGUUGGACAAACUGGCUAGGGUUUUGGGGUAUUGGGAGUCCCAAACACCUGGAGGGCCACAGGCCUGCUCCAGGUCCUCAGUAGUAUGCUAUGGACAGCGUAAGUCGACCAUAGGGUCAUUAUGGAAGACCUAGAAAUUGCUAGAGAGAGGUUCUAUCAGGAAAAAAGUAAAAUUGCUUUUUAAAAGUUUUUUUUACAGCUUUCCCCUUUUCAGCUUUGCCCUCUUAGAGCUGGUGGUGCUUUAAGUGGCCAAUACAGAGGGGUAGAGAAAUUCUCUUUUAAACCCAGAGGCAAGGAUGACACUUUCCUCUGGAUCCUGUCAGGAGGAACAAAUACUGUACAUAUAUUUUCUUGAAUAUUACAUGAUAGCAUUGAUCUAGAAUUACUGUUGUCAUCUGUUGUUGGGCCAUAAUGUUGUUUGUCAGUUGAAGCAAGUCUAUGAGUCAGUUUAUUAAUGGAAUAUAAGAUGAGUUUUUUCUAUUUUUAAAAAAUGAAUACCUGCAUGUUUAUCAACAGCUUUGAAAGAGGACACUGACAUGACUGUUUUCUGAAAACUCAAGCACCUGGCAAAAUAAGGGAGAUCCAACCUGUAAAACAUGGAGGAAUUUUCACAACACAAGAUGUAAUGAGUGCUUUGUACAUAACUUGUACCUGAUGUUUCCCCAGUAAGCCCAUCUUCCAUUCCUCACUAUUGUAACUUGACAGGUGAGUUGCCACUGCACACUCCCAUGUGUGUGUCAUGACCCAGGGCAACCAUCCCUUAUCAGUCUAGCUCAGUGGUUCUCAAUCUGUGGGUCCUUGGGUGUUUUGGCCUACACUCCCAGAAAUUCCAGCCAGUUUACCAGCUGUUAGGAUUUCUGGAAGUUGAAGGCCAAAAUAUCUGGGGACCCCUCAAUUUGAGUACCACUGAAGCUGAAAAUUUAAACUAUGGGAAGUUAUUCUUCCUCUCCCCCAGUGUUGAUAUUCCUCAUUAGGAUCCUUGUCAAAUUCAGUUUAAUUUACUUUCCUCUAUAGAGGCAAGAACAAAACAUUUAUAUAUUUUUUUAUAAAUUUUUAUUUAUAAAUUUAUUAAAGAAGAGAUAGAUUUCUUUUACAUAAAAGUGGGGGAACAAUCCAAGUAGAUAGGAAAGUAGGAAAUAUACUAAAAUAAUGAAAAAAGAAAAAAAGAGGAAAACAUUUACAAUUUAUGUAAAAUUUAUAAUUUAACCAUAUCCCAAAACUGCUAAAAGCUAUAAGGUUGCUUCUGCUUGGAUAAAUAGGUAAGAGGUAAAAUAGGCUUCAGAGGCUCUUGGUGGCACAGCGGAUUAAACUGCUGAGCUGCUGAACUUGCUGACUGAAAGGUUGGCGGCUCGAAUCCGGACAGUGGAGUGAGCACCCACUUUUAGCUUCAGCCAACCUAGCAAUUCAAAAACAUGCAAAUGUGAGUAGAUCAAUAGGUACUGCUUCACUGGGAAGGUAACCUCAAUCCAUGUAGUCAUGCCGACCACAUGACCUUGGAGGUGUCUACAGACGCCACCAGCUCUUAGGCUUAGAAAUGAAGGUGAGCACCAACCCCCCAGAGUCUGGCACGACUAGACUUAAUGUCGUGGGGAAACAUUUACCUUUACCUAGAAUAUGCUUCAAACAUUUUAGCUGCAAUUAUAGUGAACCUUUGUAGCAGGUUCAUUUGGGCCUUGCACUAAAAUACUGCUAUCAUUGAAAUAAAGACGUUUCAGGGGCUAUGAUUUGAAGCUGUCCACCCUCAGUAAAGUGCAUUAGGAUUAUAAGAUUGUUCUUGUUCAGAUGUACAACUCUGAAGGCCAAGUUGGUGGUAGUCCUGGAGCAAUUCUGCUUGAAAUGGAGAGCAGCUUUACAGAAGCCCAAGAUUUACUAUUCCUGUGAUAACAGUAGCUGAUUGUUGGGAUCAAGAGAGGUCAAUGUGUAACUCUUGCCGUUGUUCACUUUUCUGAAGGUUAAAUAUUCUCAGCCCACAGAACAUGAGUUUAGAAAACCUAGCUACAAUAUGUUUCCAUGGAAACUACUUUUUAGAUUUCCUUGGGAUUUUGAGCAACAAAGUAAUUUAUCCAAAAUAACUUUCAUUAAAAGCUACUUGUAAGCACAAAGACUUAAAGAUUAUGGGCUUUGUAUGAGAUGUAAACAUUGUUUGAAUUUGAUGUAUCAACUGUGUUGUUUUGCACAAAAUGGGAAGGUGAUGUUGGAGCAUAAUCAAAGGAUGGUACUGAGGCUUUGCUUCAUUUUGUUAGCAUUGAUUUCUAUUUACACAAUAAAAAUUGUGAAUAAAAAACCAA